UACGAAGGGGGCGAGCGUUGUUCGGAAUUACUGGGCGUAAAGGGCGCGCAGGCGGCUCUGAAAGUUAGAUGUGAAAGCCCCGGGCUUAACCUGGGAAUUGCAUUUGAUACUCUGGAGCUUGAGUACGGGAGAGGAGAGUGGAAUUCCCAGUGUAGAGGUGAAAUUCGUAGAUAUUGGGAAGAACACCGGUGGCGAAGACGGCUCUCUGGACCGUAACUGACGCUGAGGCGCGAAAGCUAGGGUAGCAAACGGG
rnacentral:rRNA from 1 species